rnacentral:lncRNA from 1 species
GACAUAGAAGAACCUCUCUUUUCAGUUGUGGAUAGAAGAGGGGGCGCCUUUCAGCAACCCCUUUCUACCAAACUGGGGGGAGAAGUACCAUCAAUCUUUUGUCGAGGGAUGGCAUUUAAAGGUGUAGAAAUUCCUAAACAAGGAAAGGGUCGGUCAAACUUCAGCUAAGCUACAAAGAGAAAGAAAUCCUAUUAGAAAUCUAAAGGAGUUCGACACGACAGAAACUAAAGAAAUAUUCAGAA